ACAAAAUAUUGUUUUAAUGGCUUUUUAGUUAGUAAUAUUUAUUAAACAAGCUUUAUUUAUACCGACAGAGAAAAUUACCGAGAGGGAAUGAUGAAAGAGUGGUUUAAGUAAAAUUUUAGGAAAGAAGUUUUUAUUAUUUACCUUUUGUAUCAUGGUUAAACUAAUUAUUAAGUAAAAGAUUUUUUAUUAUAAACGAAAUAAAACGAGCUAUCCCUUUCCGCAAGUGAGAGCUGUUAACUUCCCAUUGUAGCAAAAAUGGCGAAGAGAGGGAGGGAUUGUAAUGAAAUAUUUAUCGAGUUUUAUGUUAGCUUUUUUUUAGGGAAGCGGGUAGAAGCUCGAACUAAAGUUUUUAAGUAAGAAGAAUGUGGAUUAUCACUUUUUUCUUAGAGGAAACAGCCUUGUCUGACAGAGAAAGAUCAAAAAACAAAAAUAUUUUUGGGGGGGUAGGUUCUUUAGCAGCCACCCUGCGGAGUGCGUUUGAGCACGCCAAAAAACUCUGAGAGUUGAAAUUUUUUAGUUUAUCGUUCUUGUUAAAGAAUACUUAAAUACUUUCUUGUGAAAGAAAAUAAUGUUUAAAUAAGUAAGUUUUUUUCUAGCUUAAGAAAAUAAUAUAUUAAGUAAAAUUUUUAAAGGUUUUUAUUUUUUCUAUCAAAAUAUAUUCUUAUGAAAGAGGAAGGGUUUAGUAAAUUUAAAUUUUAGCAGGAAAAGGAACUCGGCAAAAAAGUUUUGCGCCUGUUUACCAAAAACAACACCCCUGGAAUAAGAUCGAGGGGCUCUGCCUGCCCGGUGACUUUUUUUAUAAGUUUAACGGCUGCAGUAUUCUGACUGUGCAAAGGUAGCAUAAUCAUCUGUUCAUUAAUUGUGGACUGGCAUCAACGGCUAGACGACAAGACUGCUGUCUUUUUCUGCCAUUACUAAAGUUAUUAUUUAAGUGAAAAGUCUUAAAUUAUAUAAUGGGACGAGAAGACCCUAUUGAGCUUUAAUUUAAUAUCAAAAUCUGGUUGAGGGUUAAAUUUUGGUUGGGGCAACCGCUUUCAAUAGUUAAAACGGAAGUUUAAAUUUUGUAUUGAUUUUAAUCUUGGAGUGACCUAAAAUUGUUAUAAAUAUCGGAAAAAGUUACCUUAGGGAUAACAGCGUAAUUAUUUUUAAUAGUACUUAUUGACAAAAUAGUUUGCGACCUCGAUGUUGGAUUAAGAUUUCCUGGGGGUGCAGCAUCUCUCCACGGUUGGUUUGUUCAACCAUAAAAAUCUUACGUGAUCUGAGUUCAGUCCGUCGUAAGACAGGACAGUUUCUAUCUAUUCAAAAAAUCUCUUUUUGUACGAAAGGACCAUUGAGGGACGGGUAAAGGUGAAAAAUUUCCCGUUAAAAAAUAACUUGAAAAAAUCUUAAAAGUUU
rnacentral:rRNA from 1 species